UUUUAUGGAGAGUUUGAUCCUGGCUCAGGAUGAACGCUGGCGGCGUGCCUAAUACAUGCAAGUCGAGCGAACGGACGAGAAGCUUGCUUCUCUGAUGUUAGCGGCGGACGGGUGAGUAACACGUGGAUAACCUACCUAUAAGACUGGGAUAACUUCGGGAAACCGGAGCUAAUACCGGUUUAUAUUUUUAACAGGUUGGUUGAAUAGUGAGAGACGGGCCUGCUG
rnacentral:rRNA from 1 species